rnacentral:rRNA from 1 species
UUCUAGCGGCGGACGGGUGAGUAACGCGUGAGCAAUCUGUCCCUCACAGGGGGAUAACACUUGGAAACAGGUGCUAAUACCGCAUAAGACCACGAUGUCGCAUGACAAUGAGGUCAAAGGAGCAAUCCGGUGAGGGGUGAGCUCGCGUCCCAUUAGAUAGUUGGCGGGGUAACGGCCCACCAAGUCAGCGAUGGGUAGCCGACCUGAGAGGGUGAUCGGCCACACUGGGACUGAGACACGGCCCAGACUCC